rnacentral:rRNA from 1 species
UGGGGAAUAUUGGACAAUGGGCGAAAGCCUGAUCCAGCCAUGCCGCGUGUGUGAAGAAGGCCUUUUGGUUGUAAAGCACUUUAAGCGAGGAGGAGGCUACUUGGAUUAAUACUCUAGGAUAGUGGACGUUACUCGCAGAAUAAGCACCGGCUAACUCUGUGCCAGCAGCCGCGGUAAUACAGAGGGUGCGAGCGUUAAUCGGAUUUACUGGGCGUAAAGCGUGCGUAGGCGGCUUCUUAAGUCGGAUGUGAAAUCCCUGAGCUUAACUUAGGAAUUGCAUUAGAUACUGGGAAGCUAGAGUAUGGGAGAGGAUGGUAGAAUUCCAGGUGUAGCGGUGAAAUGCGUAGAGAUCUGGAGGAAUACCGAUGGCGAAGGCAGCCAUCUGGCCUAAUACUGACGCUGAGGUACGAAAGCAUGGGGAGCAAACAGG